AGAGUUUGAUCCUGGCUCAGGACAACGCUGGCGGCGUGCUUAACACAUGCAAGUCGAACGGAAAGGCCCUGCUUUUGUGGGGUGCUCGAGUGGCAACGGGUGAGUAACACGUGAGUAACCUGCCCUUGACUUUGGGAUAACUUCAGGAAACUGGGGCCAAUACCGGAUAGGAGCUCCUGCUGCAUGGUGGGGGUUGGAAAGUUUCGGCGGUUGGGGAUGGACUCGCGGCUUAUCAGCUUGUUGGUGGGGUAGUGGCUUACCAAGGCUUUGACGGGUAGCCGGCCUGAGAGGGUGAUCGGCCACAUUGGGACUGAGAUACGGCCCAGACUCCUACGGGAGGCAGCAGUGGGGAAUAUUGCACAAUGGGCGGAAGCCUGAUGCAGCAACGCCGCGUGCGGGAUGACGGCCUUCGGGUUGUAAACCGCUUUCGCCUGUGACGAAGCGUGAGUGACGGUAAUGGGUAAAGAAGCACCGGCUAACUACGUG
rnacentral:rRNA from 1 species